GACGAACGCUGGCGGCGUGCUUAACACAUGCAAGUCGAACGGAAAGGCCCUGCUUUUGUGGGGUGCUCGAGUGGCGAACGGGUGAGUAACACGUGAGUAACCUGCCCUUGACUUUGGGAUAACUUCAGGAAACUGGGGCUAAUACCGGAUAGGAGCUCCUGCUGCAUGGUGGGGGUUGGAAAGUUUCGGCGGUUGGGGAUGGACUCGCGGCUUAUCAGCUUGUUGGUGGGGUAGUGGCUUACCAAGGCUUUGACGGGUAGCCGGCCUGAGAGGGUGACCGGCCACAUGGGGACGGAGAUACGGCCCAGACCCCUACGGGGGGAAGCGGUGGGGAAUUUUGCAAAAGGGGCGGAAGCCGGAUGCAGCAACGCCGCGUGGGGGAUGACGGCCUUCGGGUUGUAAACCGCUUUCCCCUGGGACGAAGCGGGGGUGACGGUAAUGGGGAAAGAAGCACCGGCGAACUACGU
rnacentral:rRNA from 1 species